ensembl:lncRNA
UGGUGACGUUGGGAACCUUCCUGUCUGGGAGCAUUUUGAGCUGAUCCUCAUAAUAAGGAGCUUGGAUACAACAGCUCAUCUAUGCUGAGGCAUCAUAGAGGCCUGCAUGAGAACAAGGAGACCAACCAAGGUGGACCAAACCUUGGACGUUUGGAGAAGCUAAGAACAUAAGAAGUGUAUCCUCACUUGUAUGAACUUGCUGUGACUUUGUUCCCCAGCUUCAUCUGCUCCCUGUGAAAGUCUCUAAAGGGUUUUCUCUUCUGGUUGAUGCUUCAGCAAAACCAGAGCUACAAGACAAAGAGUCACACGGUCAGUUGGUAGUUUAACUGUUAUCCUGCAUUAGAAUUAGGUCACAUUACAAUAUUCUCUUGGCGUUUUGAGAGGGAGAACCAAUCCAGCCCAGUCUGCUCAUUGCUGAAUGCUCACUUCCUAUAGUUUGGAUUCCUCCACUAUUGCUGUAGACGGUAAAGUGUAUUUCCCUCGUUGUUUUUCCUUAUACUCCGUAUGAUGCUCGGUAUCUGACAGUAAAACCCUUGAGGACCUCGAGAUGUCAAAGGCACCUCUGCUUGACUUGACUUUCAUUGCCUCUCACCUCAAAGAAUAAAGUUUGGACGAGGAGGAUCAGGUGAACAUGCAUUGUGGUUGAAGUACUACUUCAAAUCCAGUAAAAGCACAUGCACUUCCUGGUGUGGACUUCCUGUUUCCUGCCGUUGAAAGGAAGUCCUUCCUUUUUAAUUGUAAUGUUCGUAUUCUCCACUGAACCGUUAUAUUCCACAUUAUCAUGCGAGAGCAUUGCAGUUGUGUGUAUGAGCACAUUUCACAUGUGUGAAACUUGAAAUACAUGUUCGUGCCAUCCGGCCUUUAAGCGGCCUUCACCCAUUAUUACUCUGCAUUUAUAGUUCAAGUUAGAGUCGCGUUGCAGCAGACCAAAGUCUGCAGACUGAGUUGUGUGAGUCACCUUAGCUACAGCUGUGCUGUGUGUAGGUGAAGCUAACCCGGACAUUGUCUCCAAGUACUUUGUGUAACUCGUCUUCAAUGAGACCAACAAGCCCAUUUCUGUUUAAUCACAUUUUACAGAUGUUUUCAAGCACUGACUUAAUUCUCAUCCUCCUGCCUAUAGAGCAGGGGUGGGCAAUUAUUUUUCCCAGGG